UACGUAGGGUGCAAGCGUUGUCCGGAAUUAUUGGGCGUAAAGAGCUCGUAGGCGGUCUGUCGCGUCGGCUGUGAAAACCCGGGGCUCAACCCCGGGCCUGCAGUCGAUACGGGCAGACUAGAGUGCGGUAGGGGAGACUGGAAUUCCUGGUGUAGCGGUGAAAUGCGCAGAUAUCAGGAGGACCACCGGUGGCGAAGGCGGGUCUCUGGGCCGUAACUGACGCUGAGGAGCGAAAGCGUGGGGAGCGAACAGG
rnacentral:rRNA from 1 species